GGUUCGGGGGGCGGGUCCCUGUGCCGCUGACGUCCCGAGCAGUGCUGGGAAGUAUAGGCUGUGUUGUCACGCCGGUGUCAGUCUGAUGAAGAUUGGCAUCAGGUGAAGUCUGGAGCAGGACUUCUGAGGCUUUCUAUCCUCCAUGCCGCUCACUAGAAAAGGGGCUGUGAACUGACAAGGUGCAGCUGCUGCUGCCGUGCCAGUGCUGGUGUGGUGUCUGUCACUGAGCAGGGCUUUAGCCGUGCCGCUUUUCUUCUCUUGGGUGCCACUGCUCAGCUUGUCAGGUCUCCUCGGCAGCUGCUGAGCUGCAGAAUUUAUGGAAGCCCUUCACGCUUUGUGACAGACUGCUAAUGAAAGAGAGGCCAGGCUUCUGCGUCUGCCUUCUUUGGUUUCUAAUUUGUCCAGGGAUUCUAUCCCCAAGUGGGGGCAAG
rnacentral:lncRNA from 1 species